rnacentral:rRNA from 1 species
GACGAACGCUGGCGGCGUGCUUAACACAUGCAAGUCGAACGGAAAGGCCCUGCUUUUGUGGGGUGCUCGAGUGGCGAACGGGUGAGUAACACGUGAGUAACCUGCCCUGGACUUUGGGAUAACUUCAGGAAACUGGGGCUAAUACCGGAUAGGAGCUCCUGCUGCAUGGUGGGGGUUGGAAAGUUUCGGCGGUGGGGGAUGGACUCGCGGCUUAUCAGCUUGUUGGUGGGGUAGUGGCUUACCAAGGCUUUGACGGGUAGCCGGCCUGAGAGGGUGACCGGCCACAUUGGGACUGAGAUACGGCCCAGACUCCUACGGGAGGCAGCAGUGGGGAAUAUUGCACAAUGGGCGGAAGCCUGAUGCAGAAACGCCGCGUGCGGGAUGACGGCCUUCGGGUUGUAAACCGCUUUCGCCUGUGACGAAGCGUGAGUGACGGUAAUGGGUAAAGAAGCACCGGCUAACUACGUG